GUGCUUGCUUUGGCAGCACAUGUACUAAAAUUGGAAUGAUACAGAGAAGAUUAGCAUGUCCCCUGUGCAAAGAUGUUGCAUUUCUUUUCCAUGGGGAUGGUCUUAAU
ensembl:snRNA U6 U6 spliceosomal RNA